rnacentral:tRNA from 1 species
GCCAGGAUAGUUCAACCAAACAUUAGGCCGUGACCCUAAAAACAGAACUACAGUUCUUCCUAGCC